AUGUAACGCAAUGGAUAGCGCGUUGGACUUCUUAUACAACGUUCGUGGGAUUGAAUCCCACCUGGUAUG